AAUCAACGCUGGCGGCGUGCCUAACACAUGCAAGUCGAACGAGAAAGUGGGGGCAACUCCAUGAGUAAAGUGGCAGACGGGUGAGUAACACGUGAACAACCUACCCUUGAGUGUGGAAUAACACCGCGAAAGCGGUGCUAAUACCGCAUAAUAUCUUCGGAUCGCAUGAUCUGAAGAUCAAAAGCGCAAGUUGCUUGAGGAGGGGUUCGCGCCUGAUUAGCUAGUUGGUAGGGUAAUGGCCUACCAAGGCAACGAUCCAUAGUUGGUCUGAGAGGAUGAUCAGCCACACUGGGACUGAGACACGGCCCAGACACCUACGGGUGGCAG
rnacentral:rRNA from 1 species